rnacentral:lncRNA from 1 species
UAGCCGCUCCUAGAAAGGCUUAGCCUUCCCCACACAAAUCAAUGACACUCUCUGCUCGGCUGCAGGCACCGGGGCAGCUCCGACACAGCCCGGCUCACACCGGGGACGGCAGCGUCGGCGCGCGGAGCAGAGGCACUCCCGGCGCUGUCUCAGGGUCCCUCCCCGGCUCUGGACCCUGCCCGUGUGAUUCCUGAGGACAGCACCAACACGGCCAGCCGCAGCUCUGUGCAAGGCCCUGGGCAGUCUGGCAGCAUUAACACCGUGUCCCGCUGCUGCUGGUGCUGUUUACUCAGGUGUGGGCAAUGAGCGGCCCCCCCGGCGUGCUGCAGCACCCAGCGAGCACCAACCCUGCCAGUGGGGUUUUCCAGCCAGCCUGGGGCCGAACUCCCUUUGAAAUUCCUCCUCUAAUUAAU